AGGACGAUACCCAACGCCGUCCGAUUGCUGAUGAGGGUGUCCGAGGCCUGCACGCAGCGCGCCGUGUCGAUGCUGUGGGUGGUGUGCAGGAUGGUGCCUGAGGAGUUUGCGCCCGCUGCCUUGGAGGUCGGACUGGCCGCCAAGCUUCUGCUGGUGAUCCAAAGCGGGUGCGGGCCGGAGCUGAAGCAGCAAGCCUCGGAGUUGCUCAAGCUUUGCACCAUGCACUGCACGUCCACCGUCUUCCUCGCGAAAUGCAAGCUCACCAAGACAAUUCAGUGA
rnacentral:rRNA from 1 species